GACGAACGCUGGUGGCGUGCUUAACACAUGCAAGUCGAGCGAUGAAACACCUUCGGGUGCGGAUUAGCGGCGAACGGGUGAGGAACACGUGAGGAAUCUGCCUUCCACUCUGGGAUAACUCCGGGAAACCGGGGCUAAUACCGGAUACUUUCAACUGGCGGCAUCGCCGGUUGAAGAAAGUUUUUCGGUGGAAGAUGACCUCGCGGCCUAUCAGCUUGUUGGUGAGGUAAAGGCUCACCAAGGCGACGACGGGUAGCCGGCCUGAGAGGGCGACCGGCCACACUGGGACUGAGACACGGCCCAGACUCCCACGGGAGGCAGCAGUGGGGAAUAUUGGGCAAUGGAGGAAACUCUGACCCAGCGACGCCGCGUGAGGGAUGAAGGCCUUCGGGUUGUAAACCUCUUUCAGCAGGGAAUAAGCGAAAGUGAAGGUACCUGCAGAAGAAGCACCGGCUAACUAUGUGCCAGCAGCCGCGGUAA
rnacentral:rRNA from 1 species